UUUUGCUUCUUUGUAGUUGGGCUCUCGACACAGUCCUUGGGAUGUUGUCAUUAGCUUCUUCUCUAUUGCUUAUCUAAGAGACUAGAGUUAAAUAACAACACUAAUUGU